rnacentral:rRNA from 1 species
AGCGAACGCUGGCGGCAGGCCUAACACAUGCAAGUCGAACGAACCUUUCGGGGUUAGUGGCGGACGGGUGAGUAACACGUGGGAACGUGCCUUUAGGUUCGGAAUAACUCAGGGAAACUUGUGCUAAUACCGAAUGUGCCCUUCGGGGGAAAGAUUAAUCGCCUUUAGAGCGGCCCGCGUCUGAUUAGCUAGUUGGUUGAGGUAAUGGCUCACCAAGGCGACGAUCAGUAGCUGGUCUGAGAGGAUGAUCAGCGACAUUGGGACUGAGACACGGCCCAAACUCCUACGGGAGGCAGCAGUGGGGAAUCUUGCGCAAUGGGCGAAAGCCUGACGCAGCCAGGCCGGGUGAAUGAUGAAGGUCUUAGGAUUGUAAAAUUCUUUCACCGGGGACGAUAAUGACGGUACCCGGAGAAGAAGCCCCGGCUAACUUCGUG